rnacentral:rRNA from 1 species
GCAUCCGUAGCCUGUUCUAUAAGUUUGCGGGUAAAUCUAUGCGCUCAACGUAUAGGCUGCCGUAAAUACUGUAGAACUAGGGAGUGGGAGAGGUAGACGGUACUCGGUAGGAAGGGGUAAAAUCCUUUGAUCUAUUGAUGACCACCUGUGGCGAAGGCGGUCUACCAGAACACGUUCGACGGUGAGGGACGAAAGCUGGGGGAGCAAACCGGAUUAGAUACCCGGGUAGUCCCAGCUGUAAACGAUGCAGACUCGAUGAUGCAAUGGCAUAGAGCUAUUGCAGUAUCGCAGGGAAGCCGUUAAGUCUGCCGCCUGGGAAGUACGUACGCAAGUAUGAAACUUAAAGGAAUUGGCGGGGGAGCACCACAAGGGGUGAAGCCUGCGGUUCAAUUGGAGUCAACGCCAGAAAUCUUACCCGGAGAGACAGCAGAAUGAAGGUCAGGCUGAAGACCUUACCAGACAAGCUGAGAGGUGGUGCAUGGCCGUCGUCAGCUCGUGCCGUGAGAUGUCCUGUUAAGUCAGGUAACGAGCGAGAUCCCUGCCACUAGUUGCUAUCAUUACUUUCAGGAGUAGUGGGGCGAAUUAGUGGGACCGCCACAGUUAAUGUGGAGGAAGGAAGGGGCCACGGCAGGUCAGUAUGCCCCGAAACUCUGGGGCCACACGCGGGCUGCAAUGGUAGUGACAAUAGGCUCCUAACUCGAAAGAGAGAGGCAAUCCAAAAACACUACCACAGUUAUGACUGAGGGCUGUAACUCGCCCUCACGAAUAUGGAAUCCCUAGUAACUGCGUGUCAUUACCGCGCGGUGAAUACGUCCCUGCUCCUUGCACACACCGCCCGUCGUUUCAUCGAAGUUUGCUUUUAGUGAGGUGAUGUUUUAUUGGCAUAUCGAACUGA